GUUUCCGCAAAUGCCCAGACUGUCACUGACUAACUCAGAUCUGCUUUGCUUUCUGCCCUCUUGCUUCAGACAAUUUUGAGCUCAGAAUGCCACUACGAAAGGACAUUUUCGCAUUUUACUGAUAUGAGAAGUGAGCCUUCAGGGUAUGAAGUAACCCACCCAACCUCAUACAGAAGGACAGUAUACAGGAUGUGAAGUUUUGAAUUGCUGUAUCAUUUGUCCCCAAGUAUACUUGUCCAUAUUUAGCUCGCUGCUCACACUAAGUCAAGCCUGGAGCUCUAAAUAUGAAUAUCAGGAUCCACUGGGAAUCCAGCCAACAAGAAAAAAUAACAACUGCCUCAUGGAGUAGAAAUAACUUCACAUAUACACAGUCAGCCAGGCAGAAGUGUACUUUAGGAAAGUGACAUUGAUCUUGGGCCAAGACAUGGCAUUCAUGCAACUACUCAACACAAAAAUGAACCCUUGAUGAACAGAAGGAAAGAAACAAGAAUGAGGAACUAUUUGUGAGACUGUCUAGUGAUGCCUGCAGAGGUAUGGUUUGACUUAAUGCCAUAAGCAGCAAGUAUUUCUGACAAGUAUAAGUCCAUGCAUAUCUGAAUGCUCAUGUACAUCUGUGAUGGGACUCUGUUGGCAUUAAGACUGGAACAGAUAUGAUUGCUUUAUUUUAAAAUGUAUUAGUGUGGGAGUAAAAGUAGCACUAGCACUAUGAAGUCUAGACUGAAAUUAAGGCAAGAAGAGAACUGACAAUUUCAUAUUCACUUUCUAAUAAAUACCAGCAUAUGUAACCUUAAGUAUAAACUUCAAUGGAGCCUCUGGUGAGUAUCUAAGGAGCUUGAGCUGUCUAGAAAACUCAAAGAUACAUUCAUAUGAAUCUAAACUAUAAAAUCAUGGCACUACAGCAAUUAACAAAAAAAUAUUUCCUGCCUUCAUUUAAAAGAUGGUAUUGUCUAAAACAAGACAGGGUAUAUGAUGUACUAUGAUCUUUCUAUUGCUUAGAGGACAGGAUUUUUAAUUUUAUCAGUUUUCUCCUUGACUUGCAAGGAGCCCCUUAAGUUUCUCAGACAAUCUGAUGCAAUAUUCUGCUAUUAUAGAGCCUUGUCUUGGUCUGCACAACUAAAUCACAUUCACUUGUCCAGUAGCGAGUGCUUCCUAAGGCUGUUAUAUACCAGAACCUUUCAUUGAUGAUGUCAUUCCAAAUAGUGUUCCACAGUAGCAGCUGUCAAGGCAAAGUCUGGUGGUAGCAAUAUAUAGGCAAAUUGUGAUUAGAAACAAGAGUAAAAAGGACAGAUGUUAGACCCACUCUAGGAAGGUCAGUUUGGUCUGGCUGUUGUGUCCAUGGGCGUCUUUUGCAAUAUAGAGCAUCAAGUAGAAAUUAGUCACUUGUAAGAAAGCACAAAGAAAUGGAAGAGGAACAGACAAGGAGAUGGAAAGUGUUGUUAAUGAACUUGACCUUCCUUCUCUGCCCAUGGAGAGACUCCAGGAAAAAAUCCUAAUAGGCAUGAAAAUCUAUUUUUAGCCAACAAAUUUUUCUUAAUCUCAUCCUUAGCAUUACCUAUAAUUACACCCCAUAUUUCGUUGCUAAAAGAGAAUUAGUUAGAAAGUGUUCAAUUGGAAGAUGAAGCUGAGACCCAGAAGUGUUAAAUAAUGUAAGAAAAUUUACCUGACAGGUUUGUUGUAGAAUCUCCUACGAACACCUAGAUGGGCUUUCUUCUAUUUGUUCUCUGCCAGUGUUGGUCAUUCUUCAGCAGUUUUUGUCUGUCUUCAUUUUAGGGCUCAUCUUCACACUGCCAGUGUAAUUUACCCUCUAAACUUACAUGGUUUUGUAUAAUAAACUUACAUAAAGAAAAUAUGUAUUUUUAAUAUCCCAAAUAGAAAAGUAAAGUUAUUGUCACAAAUAGAAAGUAAUAAAAAUACUGACAUAAUACAGUUUUGAUGCUGGCUAUCAGUUAAUGAACAAGGAACCUGAGUGUACUGGAAAACCUGUGAUAUAUCCUUGUAAAUCUAAAGUCUAAUAUAUGAUACUAUAGCUGUUAACAAGACUGUGAUUCCCUGCCUUCCUUUUUUCUAAUGAAAAAUAUGUUGUCUGAAAUGAGAGUUGUACAAGCUACUACAAUGUUUCUGUAAUUUAGAAAAAAAAUAAUAAAAUAUGAUACAGUUUGAAUAUUC
ensembl:lincRNA